rnacentral:rRNA from 1 species
CCUACGGGGGGCUGCAGUGGGGAAUAUUGGACAAUGGGGGCAACCCUGAUCCAGCCAUGCCGCGUGUGUGAAGAAGGCCCUCGGGUUGUAAAGCACUUUCAGUGAGGAAGAACGCCUGGUGGUUAAUACCCAUCAGGAAAGACAUCACUCACAGAAGAAGCACCGGCUAACUCCGUGCCAGCAGCCGCGGUAAUACGGAGGGUGCGAGCGUUAAUCGGAAUUACUGGGCGUAAAGCGCGCGUAGGUGGCUUGAUAAGCCGGUUGUGAAAGCCCCGGGCUCAACCUGGGAACGGCAUCCGGAACUGUCAAGCUAGAGUGCAGGAGAGGAAGGUAGAAUUCCUGGUGUAGCGGUGAAAUGCGUAGAGAUCGGGAGGAAUACCAGUGGCGAAGGCGGCCUUCUGGACUGACACUGACACUGAGGUGCGAAAGCGUGGGUAGCAAACAGGAUUAGAUACCCCGGUAGUC